GACAGAGCGAGAAACUGUCUCAAAAAAAAAUAGUAAUAGAUUCCGUGCAUCAAAGGCCAUGUAAAAAUCUGCACACAGAUGUUCUUAGCAGCUUUAUUGGUAACAGCUAAAAACUACAAACAACCCAAAUGUUCUUCAGUGGGGUGAGCAUCGACUGCGGUGCCUCCAUAUAGUAGAAUGCUGUGAAGCCAUGAAAGGGAAAGAAUUUUGAUACACACAACUUGGAUGGAUCUCAAGAGCAUUAGAUGAAGUGAAAAAAGCCAAUCCUUAAAGUUUCCAUGCUGCAUAAUUCCACUUGUAUAACAUUCUCAAAGCGACAAAAUAACAGUGAUGGAGAACCGUUCACUGGUUACCAGGGGCUAGGCAUGCAGGGAGGCUGUGACUAUAAGGAGGGAACAUGAGGGAGUUUCUUUGUGGUGAUGGAACUUUCUGUAUCUUGAUUGUGGUGGUGGCUAUACAAAUCUAUACGUGGGAUAAAAUUUCAUAGAACACCAGAAAAAAAACAAAGAGUGCAUGUAAAAAUCAGCACAAUCUCAGUAAGGCCUUCAGUUUGGUUAACAGUAACUAGUAAUGCAGCAAUUUCCUGGUCUUGAAAAUGGUACUAUGGCUAAGUAAGAUGUUAUCAUUGGCGGAGGCUGGGUGAAGGGUACAAGAUAAUUCUCUGUACACUAUCUUUGCAACUUCUAUGUGCAUGUAAAAUUAUUUCAAAUUAAAAAGUUGAAUCAUUUUUUAAAGCCUAAGACAGCCAAUAGAAAUAAUUUUGGGAUUAUCUGGUGUUCUGAAUUAUAUCUACCAUGGUUCCCUUCCAAUUGUGAGUCUUCCAUUUAUGCGUAAUGUUACAAUAUAAUUAUAUAUCUUUGUGGCCUAUAAAAUAAUUUUUCCCAGUUCUCUUUUCAUUAUUAUAAUGCUAAUUAGUAUUCAUCAUGGCUCUGUCUGAACUCUUUUAUUUACCUGAACCAAUGACCCAGAUUCGAAGCAGCUGUGAGAGGAGAGGAGCUGGGUAGGGAGGUGACAGGCAGGAAUGGCGACACUAGACUGUCAGCUCCAUAAGGACGUAUCUGGGUU
rnacentral:lncRNA from 10 species